AGUGAACGCUGGCGGUAGGCCUAACACAUGCAAGUCGAACGGCAGCACAGUAAGAGCUUGCUCUUACGGGUGGCGAGUGGCGGACGGGUGAGGAAUACAUCGGAAUCUACUUUUUCGUGGGGGAUAACGUAGGGAAACUUACGCUAAUACCGCAUACGACCUACGGGUGAAAGCAGGGGAUCUUCGGACCUUGCGCGAUUGAAUGAGCCGAAUUCGGAUUAGCUAGUGGGCGGGGUAAAGGCUCACCAAGGCGACGAUCCGUAGCUGGUCUGAGAGGAAGAAUCAGCAGCUGGGCAGAGAGGAUGGGCACCCACAUCGAGAGGAGGCAGCAGUGGAGAAUAUUGGACGAUGGGGGAAAGCCUGAUCCAGCCAUACCGCGUGGGUGAAGAAGGCCUUCGGGUUGUAAAACCCUUUUGUUGGGAAAGAAAAGCAGCACGUUAAUACCCCGCUGUUCUGACGGUACCCAAAGAAUAAGCACCGGCUAACUUCGUG
rnacentral:rRNA from 1 species